CCCGGACCCACCUCCCCUGCAGCCAUCCCGCACUCUUGAGGGGCCGGGCCCUGGCUGAGCGCUGUUCCUAGGCCCUGGAUGGCGGUGUGGAUCUCCGUCCUUGUCAGGGUAAUUUCCUCUUCUGUUUCCAGCAUUUCGAGUAAAUUCCUUUCUAAUCAUUAGGUGCCCUAGAGAGGACAGAUGCAUGGCUGUGGAGUCUUGUUCUGUGAUAUGUCAGUUUACUUGACGCACGUUCAAAACUGCAAAAUGCUGGUUCCUACCCGUCUCUGAUGUCACCAAAGGCUGCCCAGAGGCCUGCAGCACAUUGACGAUGGUCUUAGUAUUACACAGCUGUCUGACCAGUACCACAAAUCCAGAGUCCAAGCAGCUCAGGUUUGCCUUCUCCCUGUCUGUGUGGGUCCAGCGCCCUGGGCUCAGCAGGGCCUCCUGCUCCUGCUCCUGUAGGGUGGGCUGGGCCUUCCCACACGGGCCUGGGGAGGAGCCUCUCCUAGGUGCUGGCAGGGCCCUGGCCUUUACUUAUUCCCUCUGAUGCCAGCCAGCUACUGCAGCCCUGGUGGCGUCUCCCUGGGGGUGCCCGGGUGCAGGUGUCCGCUGCCGGGCCGUGGGUGUCUCAUUCUGUGUCCGGACCUCUCUGUGAUGUGAACCUUGGGCUUUUUUUUUUUUUUUUUUUUUUUUUCAGAUGUUAAGGGAGUCCACCACAUGUUUCCAUGUUUUACUGUUCCUGGAACUGAAUUUGUUUGUGAUGUGAGUCAGAAAUCCUGUCACAUUUUUCCACGUGGAUAUCCAGGGCCCCCGCCGUUUGUGGGAAGGCCGCACCUUCUGCCCGCUCUGCUGUCCAUCCGCGUGCCCAUCUCCAUGGGUUUCUCUCUGCACGGCUUGUUCUGUCCUGCAUGUCCAUCCUUGAGAUCGUUUUUCUCUGGCUUAAUGAUUACAGCUGUACGUUUCAUUUUCAUGGCUGGGAUCUGCAGGACGAGCUUACAUAUAGCUGUAGCCAUUUGAAGAUUCUAAGCAAGUCCUCAACUGUUCAGCAGAGCCUCUGGUCCAGCAUGAGACCAAAACCCAGGCUCCCAGUUUCUCCGCCUGUGCUGAGACCUUGUUUCCCAGGACCUCGGUGGACUUGGCUUUCAUGACUGGUGCCUCACCCCAGCACAUGUGCCUAAAAUAACAGAAAAAUACAGUGCCUGCAUGUUGGGAGCAAGCCCCCCAAAGUCUGGCCCCAAAACUGGCCAUAAAUAAAAUCUCUGCAGCAAUGUAACAUGUCCAUAAUGGCCAUAAAGCCCAAGCUGGAAGGUUGUGGGUUUACAGGAAUGACGGUAAGGAACACCUGGCCCGCUCAGGGCGGAAAACUGGUUAAAGGCAUUUUUAAGCCAUAAACAAUUAGCCUGAGCGAUCUGUGCCUUAAGGGCGUGUUCCUGCUGCAAUUAAUUCAGCCCAUCCCUUCGUUUCCCUUAAGGGAUACUUUCAGUUAAUUUAAUAUCCAUAGAAACAAUGCUAAUGACUGGUUUGCUGUUAAUAAAUAUGUGGGUAAAUCUCUGUUCGGGGCUCUCAGCUCUGAAGGCUGUGAGACCCCUGAUAUCCCACUUUACACCUCUGUAU
rnacentral:lncRNA from 1 species